UGUGUGUGUGUGUGUGUGUGUGUGUGUGUGUGUGUGGAUCCUCUCCUAAGGGAGAACAGUGGUUUCUCUGUCAGCAUUUCAGCAGAAAACCUGAUCCCAGUCUCUCUCUCACACACACACACACACACACACACACACA
rnacentral:pre_miRNA from 14 species